AUUGAACGCUGGCGGAAUGCUUUACACAUGCAAGUCGAGCGGCAGCGCGGGGCAACCUGGCGGCGAGCGGCGAACGGGUGAGUAACACAUCGGAACGUACCUUGUAGUGGGGGAUAACUAUCCGAAAGGAUAGCUAAUACCGCAUACGACCGGAGGGAGAAAGCGGGGGAUCGCAAGACCUCGCGCUGGAAGAACGGCGGGUGUCCGAUUAGCUAGUUGGUAGGGUAAAGGCCUACCAAGGCGACGAUCGGUAGCGGGUCUGAGAGGACGGCCCGCCACACUGGGACUGAGACACGGCCCAGACUCCUACGGGAGGCAGCAGUGGGGAAUUUUGGACAAUGGGGGCAACCCUGAUCCAGCCAUUCCGCGUGAGUGAAGAAGGCCUUCGGGUUGUAAAGCUCUUUCGGCAGGAACGAAACGGCUCUCUCUAACAUAGGGGGCUAAUGACGGUACCUGAAGAAGAAGCACCGGCUAACUACGUGCCAGCAGCCGCAGUAAUAC
rnacentral:rRNA from 1 species